GACGAACGCUGGCGGCGUGCUUAACACAUGCAAGUCGAACGGUGAAGCGCCUUCCUUUUUGGUGGGUGUGGAUGAGUGGCGAACGGGUGAGUAACACGUGAGUAACCUGCCCCCUUCUUCUGGAUAACCGCAUGAAAGUGUGGCUAAUACGGGAUAUUCUGGGUCUGUCGCAUGAUGGGUCUGGGAAAGAUAUUGUUUCGGUGGGGGAUGGGCUCGCGGCCUAUCAGCUUGUUGAUGGGGUGAUGGCCUACCAAGGCGGUGACGGGUAGCCGGCCUGAGAGGGUGGACGGUCACACUGGGACUGAGACACGGCCCAGACUCCUACGGGAGGCAGCAGUGGGGAAUAUUGCACAAUGGGCGCAAGCCUGAUGCAGCGACGCCGCGUGAGGGAUGGAGGCCUUCGGGUUGUGAACCUCUUUCGCCAGUGAAGCAGGCCUGCCUCGUUUGUGGGCGGGUUGACGGUAGCUGGAUAAGAAGCGCCGGCUAACUACGUG
rnacentral:rRNA from 1 species